AAGAGGGAAGAAAAUGAGACUGUCAAGGUCAUGAACACCUUGUAACUGGAUAUUUUUUCCACCCCAGAUGAACAUUGGAAUUAUUGAGCUGGAUGGGAAUCAUUUGAAGGUGGACAAGCAACUACCUCACAAUAAGCAACUCCAUGAUGAAAG